rnacentral:rRNA from 1 species
AUUGAACGCUGGCGGCAUGCCUUACACAUGCAAGUCGAACGGCAGCACGGGAGCAAUCCUGGUGGCGAGUGGCGAACGGGUGAGUAAAGUAUCGGAACGUGCCCAGUCGUGGGGGAUAACGUAGCGAAAGUUACGCUAAUACCGCAUACGAUCUAUGGAUGAAAGCGGGGGAUCGCAAGACCUCGCGCGAUUGGAGCGGCCGAUAUCAGAUUAGGUAGUUGGUGGGGUAAAGGCUCACCAAGCCGACGAUCUGUAGCUGGUCUGAGAGGACGACCAGCCACACUGGGACUGAGACACGGCCCAGACUCCUACGGGAGGCAGCAGUGGGGAAUUUUGGACAAUGGGCGAAAGCCUGAUCCAGCCAUGCCGCCUGCAGGAUGAAGGCCUUCGGGUUGUAAACUGCUUUUGUACGGAACGAAAAGGUUUGGGCUAAUAAGCUGAGCUCAUGACGGUACCGUAAGAAUAAGCACCGGCUAACUACGUGCCAGCCGCCGCCGUAA